rnacentral:rRNA from 1 species
UGAGUACGAGAUGCUACGGCGUCGAAGCAGUCUAGGUCAUACUUCCAAGAAAAGCUUGCACUGUCAUAAACAAAGAAUGCCUGUACCAUAACCGACACAGGUGGGUAGGUAGAGUAUACUAAGGGGCGCGAGAUAACUCUCUCUAAGGAACUCGGCAAAAUGACUCCGUAACUUCGGGAGAAGGAGUGCCUUAUUUUUAAGGUUGCAAUAACAAGAUCCAAGCAACUGUUUACCAAAAACACAGGUCUCCGCUAAGUCGUAAGACGAUGUAUGGGGGCUGACGCCUGCCCAGUGCCAGAAGGUUAAAGAAGUUGGUUAGCAUUCGCGAAGCUGAUAACUGAAGCCCUGGUGAACGGCGGCCGUAACAAUAACGGUCCUAAGGUAGCGAAAUUCCUUGUCGGGUAAGUUCCGACCCGCACGAAAGGCGUAAUGAUUUGGAUACUGUCUCGGAGAGGGGCUCGGUGAAAUAGACUUGUCUGUGAAGAUGCGGACUACCUGCACCUGGACAGAAAGACCCUAUGAAGCUUUACUGUAACUUGAGAUUGAAAUUGGACUUUAUUUGCGCAGUAUAGGUGGGAGGCGUUGAGAAUAAUCUUGCGGGAUUAUCGGAGCCAUCAGUGAGAUACCACUCUUGUAAUGUUAGAUUUCUAACUUUGUAUCAUUAUCUGGUCAAAGAACAGUUUCAGGCGGGCAGUUUGACUGGGGCGGUCGCCUCCCAAAGGGUAACGGAGGCGCACAAAGGUUUCCUCUGAACGGGUAGAAAUCGUAUCUAGAGUGUAAAGGCAUAAGGAAGCUUGACUGUGAGACCUACAAGUCGAGCAGGGACGAAAGUCGGUCUUAGUGAUCUGACGGUGCUGAGUGGAAAGGCCGUCACUCAACGGAUAAAAGUUACUCUAGGAUAACAGGCUGAUCUCCCCCAAGAGUUCACAUCGACGGGGAGGUUUGGCACCUCGAUGUCGGCUCAUCGCAUCCUGGGGCGGUAGUACGUCCCAAGGGUUGGGCUGUUCGCCCAUGAAAGCGGUACGCGAGCUGGGUUCAGAACGUCGUGAGACAGUUCGGUCCAUAUCCGGUGUAGGCGUUAGAAUAUUGAAAGGAGCCUUCUCUAGUACGAGAGGACCGAGAAGGACAUACCUCUGGUGUGCCAGUUAACGUGCCAACGGUAAACGCUGGGUAGCUAUGUAUGGAGUGGAUAACCGCUGAAAGCAUCUAAGUGGGAAGCCCACCUUAAGAUAAGUAUUCUCAU